ACGGGAGGCAGCAGUGGGGAAUAUUGGGCAAUGGGCGCAAGCCUGACCCAGCAACGCCGCGUGAAGGAUGAAGGUCCUCGGAUUGUAAACUUCUUUGAUCAGGGACGAAUUUUGACGGUACCUGAAGAACAAGUCACGGCUAACUACGUGCCAGCAGCCGCGGUAAUACGUAGGUGACAAGCGUUAUCCGGAUUUACUGGGUGUAAAGGGCGUGUAGGCGGUUUAGCAAGUCAGAAGUGAAAUUCCCGGGCUUAACUUGGGCGCUGCUUCUGAAACUGCUUUACUUGAGUACUGGAGAGGAUAGUGGAAUUCCUAGUGUAGCGGUAAAAUGCGCAGAUAUUAGGAGGAACACCGGUGGCGAAGGCGGUUUACUGGACCACAACUGACGCUGAGACACGAAAGCGUGGGGAGCAAACAGGAUUAGAUACCCUGGUA
rnacentral:rRNA from 1 species